UGUUGCUGUCCCUCUCGGGGGAAUUGUGCACGCCUUACCUUUUUUGUUUUUCCACCUGUGCACACACUGUAGGUCUGGAGGGAAAGGGAGGCAACUCCCUAACGUUUCAGGUCCUAUGUUUACACACAUACACUAUUAAAAGUAACAGAACGAUUCAAUGGGCUCUAAGCCUAUAAACUAAAUACAACUUUCAGCAACGGAUCUCUUGGCUCUCGCAUCGAUGAAGAACGCAGCGAAAUGCGAUAAGUAAUGUGAAUUGCAGAAUUCAGUGAAUCAUCGAAUCUUUGAACGCACCUUGCGCUCGUUGGUAUUCCGACGAGCAUGCCUGUUUGAGUGUCAUUAAAUUCUCAACCUCAUCGCUUUUGUGAUGAUGGCUUGGAUGUGGAGGUUUUUUUGGCGGGCCGUUAAGGCCGCUCCCCCCCAAUGAAUUAGGGGGGGGCCCCCGCCAACCUAUCUAUUGGUGGGAAAAUUAUCCACCCCCGGGAACCUAAGAAUGGUGGAAAAAGGGGGUUGGCCUGGUUCCAACCCUCCUCCGACAACUUGGACCCUUUGAACUCCAAUCCGGGAAGAAUACCCCCUGAACUUUAACCUAUCAAUAAGCGGAAGAAAAAGAACCAACCAGGAAUCCCCUAAUUACUGGCAAUGAAGCGGGGAAAGGUCCAAUUUAAAAUCCGGGCAGCCUUGGUUGGCCCGAGUGGUAUCCAGGGAAGGCAUUACCGCCGUGGAACGUGGUCAAGGUUCCCGGAAUGGGGGCUUCUUGAGGGGUGGAAUUCCGGCCUUUGAACCGGCCUGCAAGGCCUUGUUGUGGUCUCCUCAAGAAUCGAAGUGUUUGGGAUGGAACUUCAAAUGGGUGGGUAAAUUCCAACCUAAGCUAAAUAAUUGGCCAAAGAACCGAUAGGCGAACAAGUACCGUGGAGGGAAAGGUGGAAAAGAACUUUGGAAAGAAGAGUUAACCAGUACGUGAAAAUGCUGAAAGGGAAAACGGCUUGGAAGUCAGUCGCCGUUGUCCCGGGAAUCAACCUUGGCUUUGCUGGGCCGUACUUCCUGGGCUAACCGGGUUCAACCAUCAAUUUGAUCGUUGAAUAAGUGUUUGGAAUGUACAUCUCGGAGUGUGUUAAGGCGGAAGUGCCAAUACACAGAUUGGAUAUGAGAUAACUCU
rnacentral:rRNA from 1 species